ensembl:lncRNA LIFR-AS1 LIFR antisense RNA 1
CACCCAAUAGAAGGGAAAAUGGCAGAGGGAAAGUCCUAGUGGAAAGAGACCUCAGUCUCAGCUAAUUGUGGUGACAAUAUAUUGCUUUUGCAAAUUGUACAUAAACAUAUGACCAGGUGAAUGUAUCGCCAAGGCUCCUGCCAAGGCCUGGGAUGGAGGCCUAGAGAAGAUGCCCGAAAGUUUAUGCUGUGUGAGCUUCACAGAAGACCUGCCUUCCAUGUAUACCCAUUUUACAGGACUCUCCAGAACUCUAAGAUGUCAGAACAAACUUUGGGACAUAGCUGGUCUUGUAGCAAAGGAUACAAAGAAUAGAUGAACUACACCUGGCUCUUCGAGUGUCUGAUAGAAGAAACACACCUUACCCACAGCCAUGUUACAUUGGCCAAAACAGGUCACGUGGCCACACUUGGGGCCAGUGAAGUAGAGAAGGAUAAUAUUUCUACAGAAAAGGGAUACCACAGGGAGGAGCAGCCAACAUUUUGAACAGAAAUAUAAUCUGCUAUAUAGGACAUUUCAUAAAGUAGGUCAAAUAUUUUUGGAAAAAAAAAAGAGGGGAGUCUAUGUAUGGUCAGUUAAGUUUAGGAACUCCUACAUAAUACCCAUCUCUAGAGCUAUGCAAUGUAAACCAGCACACCGAAGGCUCUCAGAAGUCCUGCAAUAGAAAAAUAAAAUCAAGAUUGUUUAA